rnacentral:lncRNA from 1 species
AUGUCCUUUCAAUCGGACAACGAAGGGACCAUCCAUUCGUGCUUUGGAAAAAAUGAAAACAAAAUGGCGUGUAAUGUAUGCGCUUUUCAAGUGAAUAAAUGUUUUGGCUGCUGGGAUUUUUGUUACAUAAAGCUGCUGGGUUUUUGUUGCUGCUGGGAUUUGUGUUGUUUCCGUUGCUGUGUGGAGAACGAAGCUGCUGGGUUUUUGUUGCAGUGAAAGGAGGCAGACGCGAAUGGAAAAAUGAUGCUGUAAAUUGGCGUGUGUGUG